UACCAGCUCUUCGAGUGGUGUGGAUGUUUAUUGGGCCUAAAGCAUCCGUAGCUGGCUGGGCAAGUCCCCUGUUAAAUCCACCGAUUUAAUCGUUGGAGUGCGGGGGAUACUGUUCGGCUAGGGGACGGGAGAGGCAGACGGUAUUUUCGGGGUAGGGGUGAAAUCCUAUAACCCCGGGAAGACCACCAGUGGCGAAGGCUGUCUGCUAGAACGCGCCCGACGGUGAGGGAUGAAAGCUGGGGGAGCGAACCGGAUUAGAUACCCGGGUAGUCCCAGCUGUAAACGAUGCAGGCUAGGUGUUUGGGCGGCCACGUGCCGCUCUAGUGCCGCAGGGAAGCCGUUAAGCCUGCCGCCUGGGGAGUACGAUCGCAAGAUUGAAACUUAAAGGAAUUGGUGGGGGAGCACCACAAGGGGUGAAGCUUGCGGUUU
rnacentral:rRNA from 1 species